CCGCAAACGGACGGCGCAGAUGACACAAAAAGCCAAACCAGAGCUCAAUUCCGCCACUCUCUUCUUUAUCGUCCGAUCCAUUUCUCUCUCCUUCUACGCUGCCAAGUAACAACGUCGAUCAAAGCUCGCGCCAAAUACAAAAUCUCUCUCUCUCUCUCUCUCUCAUCUGGAUUCCGGCGACAAUGGCGGAUGCUCCGGCCAGCCCCCCCGGAGGAAGCCACGAGAGCGGCGGCGGCGGCGACGACCACAGCCCCCACUUCAACGUCCGCGAGCAGGAUCGCUAUCUCCCAAUCGCCAACAUCAGCCGGAUCAUGAAGAAGGCCUUGCCCUCCAAUGGAAAGAUCGCCAAGGACGCCAAGGAUACCGUCCAAGAAUGCGUUUCCGAGUUCAUCAGCUUCAUCACUAGCGAGGCGAGCGAUAAGUGCCAGAAGGAGAAGAGGAAGACGAUUAAUGGCGACGAUUUGCUUUGGGCAAUGGCGACGUUAGGAUUCGAAGAUUACAUUGAUCCGCUCAAAGUGUACCUAACUAGGUACAGGGAGUUUUUGUCCUCCACUUUUGCUGGGUUGUUUUGUGGACUGAUUGUGCUUUCUCAGUUAGAGGGUGACACUAAGGGAUCUACUAGGGGUGGGGAUGGAUCCUCAAAGGAGGUAGUUGGUGCUCAGCUUCCUCCAAAUGCACAGUUUGCUCAUCAAGCUUCUUUUACACAAGGCAUGAACUACUUGAAUUCCCAAAUUUGAAAGCAUAAGGCCAGAAUCCAAUUGUUUCGAACAUGGAAAAGCAGCAAGUAGGGAGAUAAAAGAUUCACCUUUAUUGAUUCAUAAUCAUCAUCAUCAUCAUCUUUAUGAUUCUAUCUAUUCCUAGUAGACAACGUUCAGCAAUGGUAGCAUUGUUUUAUAUAGAGAUUACUGAUGGAAGAGCUGUAAUUUCUCUAUUUAUGAGGAUGGUUUGGUUAAGGAAGAGGGGCAUGUUUGCAGUUUGGUUGCUGGUGCUCAAGUCAAGUCAGGUGGUGAAAGUUCAAAGGAAAAGGGAAUCUUGGAAGGGGUAAGGGCUAUGAGUAUGGAAGGCUAAUUGUGUGGUUGUUAUAUUUUGUAAUGGUGUUUUAAAGUUUGAUGGAGUUUAAACUUGAGUAUGUAUUCUAUUUGGUGUAUGUCAUGUAAGUACCUCAUGGGUUGUAUGGCCGUAUUUUGGAGUGAAUGUGAGAGAAUUAUAUUUUAAUUUAUG